UACGGGGGGGGCAAGCGUUGUUCGGAAUUACUGGGCGUAAAGGGCUCGUAGGCGGCCAACUAAGUCAAACGUGAAAUCCCUCGGCUUAACCGGGGAACUGCGCUUGAUACUGGAUGGCUUGAGAUUGGGAGAGGGAUGCGGAAUUCCAGGUGUAGCGGUGAAAUGCGUAGAUAUCUGGAAGAACACCGAUGGCGAAGGCAACCUCCUGGGCCUGUUCUGACGCUGAGGCACGAAAGCGUGGGUAGCAAACAGG
rnacentral:rRNA from 1 species